rnacentral:rRNA from 1 species
UCCCGACCCCUGUGAACAUACCAAUUAGUUAGCCUCGGCGGAUCAGCCCGCUCCCGGUAAAACGGGACGGCCCGCCAGAGGACCCCUAAACUCUGUUUCUAUAUGUAACUUCUGAGUAAAACCAUAAAUAAAUCAAAACUUUCAACAACGGAUCUCUUGGUUCUGGCAUCGAUGAAGAACGCAGCAAAAUGCGAUAAGUAAUGUGAAUUGCAGAAUUCAGUGAAUCAUCGAAUCUUUGAACGCACAUUGCGCCCGCCAGUAUUCUGGCGGGCAUGCCUGUUCGAGCGUCAUUUCAACCCUCAAGCCCCCGGGCUUGGUGUUGGGAAAAAAAUAAUUAAAGAACAAAAUAAAGAAAAACAAAUUAGGGACUAGGGAGAGAACCCUUAAAGGAGGGAAACCCAAGCAAAAUUGUAUGAUCAAGAGUUUGAAAAUAAAACCCGAAAAAAACCCAAAGACCAAAAGCAGUAUCUACUAAGCUGAUCAACCUGGAAAGCGUGGGCCCAACCCCUCGGAAAAGGAACGCAAAACAAAUUGUUUUAAAUAUAGAACGUCAUACCCGGAGGAGAG